rnacentral:rRNA from 1 species
UGGGCCCGCGUUGGAUUAGCUAGUUGUGGGGUAAAGGCCUACCAAGGCGACGAUCCAUAGCUGGUCUGAGAGGAUGAUCAGCCACACUGGGACUGAGACACGGCCCCAGACUCCUACGGGAGGCAGCAGUGGGGAAUAUUGGACAAUGGGCGAAAGCCUGAUCCAGCAAUGCCGCGUGAGUGAUGAAGGCCUUAGGGUUGUAAAGCUCUUUUACCCGGGAUGAUAAUGACAGUACCGGGAGAAUAAGCUCCGGCUAACUCCGUG